UUGAAGACGUGUUUUAAGAGUUUCAGUGGUUCCUCUCUGUCCCCAAACUGACUCUGUUUCGGUGUGACCUAACGAUCUGAUUACUAAUACUGACUGAUUCCCUGUUUCCUCUGGCUGCAGACGCACAGUGGUCUCCAGGUGUGUCGUUUUUGUAAAUUGUGAACAGUGACUCAGAGGCAUGCUCAACCUUUGUAAAUACAGGUGCGAAAGAAAUGGGAGAAUGAGUCAACACAAAACCCCUAAGAGCUCUUGACAAAAAAAAAAAACUACUGAAAAAUAAGAAGCCAUGCGAGAUCAAUUGUACAGUAGCUUGGCAGGGUUCAUUUUCCCACAUAUAUUUGUGUGUACAUGCUCCCAAUAUUGACUCAAGAGCUCCACUAUUCAGCUUCAAAUGAUUACAGCAUCUUGCACAAUGAAGGAGUCAUGCCACAUCAGCGGAAAAAUCCACUUGAAACCCGAUUUAACUGGCUGGUCAGUUUUUAUUAGGCUCCACUAGUUUUUAAAAAAAAAAAAAAAAAAUCCAACUGAGCUAGCAAUGAGCUGUGGAGCUCAGUGGGAGAGUGUUUAAUAUGUCCUUUUUCUCUUGGUUCACAUUUGUUUCAUUAAUUCUGUUUAAUCAAGCCUUUUCCUCUUUACAUACGAAUGAAAGAAUAAAUUAAACUAAAGAGAUGACAUUCAACUGGAGAACUGUCCCAGAGGAGUGCUAGUGGCUGUAGUCAUUAAAGGCAGUACUAGAGGGAUUAUUAUUAGAGAUUGAGAGUAAACUGUGUUGUUAAAGAGCUCCUUUUGGUUUACAUAAAUUAAUAUUCUACACAUUUCCAGAAACUCUUAUCUGGGUGCUGCUGCAGGCUCGGGUUCACCUUCAGUUCAAGCUCUGUUCAUUUAGCAGAUAUUUAGGUAUCGGAAAUUGCCUUCAGGUCAGCUAUAGUGCAUCAGCGAUUCAUCGUAAACAUGCUGAUUGUCGUGGUAGAGCGUGAGCUCACAUGGAGCGGAGCUUGAGCAAGUACUUAAAAGAGCAUUGCAGAAACAAUAACAUCAAAUGCUUCGGUGCGUUUAAGUGUUUCUUGAGUCAAUUUUGUUUGCUAAAGCAAGAAUAGGAAAACCUUGCACUCAGUCAAAGACAAAAAACUUUAGCCAGAUGAGUGUAACUAACGUCACAGUCCGCCAAUUUGGACAAAAACUGUAGAAUUAACCUUGACUAUCUGAACAACACUAACAACCGAACUGCAGUCAAUCAAUCUCAUUGAAAAUUUGUGACAUUUGAGAAGCGCUACCAGUUAAAAGUGACUUAUGGAUUAUCAAAACAAUCCAUAAGUCAAGUCAUUUUCUGUCGACCUAUUAAUCACUUCAUUGCCUCAUAGCUGCAGCUCUGCUGCAAAGUAAUAAUGUUGUUGCACUAGGUUCACAGUGGCUCAUGAUAUCUUCCUGGUGUCCUUGGUUUGAGGUGAGUGUUUCAUCCACUUGUGUCUGAGGAGGGUGUUUUCUCUUUUUUUGUUUUGUUCUAGUCUUCACCAGAAUAGAUUCAUAAAAUAAAUGAAUCAUCUCCAAAGAAACACACUGUUUUUUUGAUUUUGCGUUUCAGAAGUAACAACAGUCUGCGUUGAUGACUGCGAGACGCGACUGUUGUAUCUGAAACGGCAGCGGCGGCUCCUGAAGAGGUGCACGUAGAUGCUGCAGGCACCUGUGAUUUCAGAGCUGUAGUUCUUCACUGAAAGAAGAGAGCAGAGGACAUCAAAGGAGUCAAGCUCACAACUAAAGAGCUACUGCUACUUCUUUGGGUGACUGAAAUGUUCACAUGCACGACCUGUUUUACAAACUAACACAAUUCUGGGGCUGAUUUUGGAGGCGCAAAGAGGGAACCUCUGUAAUCACGCUGUAACAGUCUGCUUGUGCUCCAUUGAUUAAGGAAGCUUGAAGAGAGCCAAAAAGUCCCAGCCACAGUGUAACUGGGGUUUUCACAAUGCUUGUCAUUUAUUGUUGAGAUACUCAGCCUUGCCCAGUCUGGUUGUACUGCUGUUAUCUUGUCAAAUGGAAGGGUACACCUUACCUAAACAUUGACCUUAAGUUGAGCAUCAAAAUGAUACGCGCACAUUUUUUUUGUUAAUCAUCAACACUGAAACACCUUUGAGAAUUCUUAAGUUAAGAGCUAUCAGGACAUGUACACAUGAAGGUUUAAAGUACACUUGGGGAAAGAAGGGAAGACAUUGGUUUUCUUCAAGCAGGCUUAACCUCAGUAUUUGUACAGUUAUAACAUCAUGUUUUAAUACAACCGAUCCAAAUGUGGUAGAAGCCAGGGGUUAGAGAACAGCCACCAUCUUGUCUGCAGCCAGACCUGGUGAGAAAACCUGCAGGGAGUGGUCUGACAAGAGUGACAUGUCACGUUGUGCAAAUUUCCUGAUCUCCUCAUGAAUACCAACAGUAUGCUCAUCCAUGAGAGAACAAAACAUCGAGCUGGAUUCAAAGCCAGCUUGAUUUAAUCUUCUCAGUGCUGGCGGUUUAUCAGGCACCACAUGCUUGUAGCCUUCAUUCAUGUCAGAGAGAGAACGUGCAGAUUAAACUGAAAAUGUAAGACAAUCAGAGCCUGAACCAAGAGAGAGUUACGCACUGAAAAAGCGAAUGAAGAAAGAACAGAGCAGAAAAUGGAGCUUCAUUUUCUCCUUUUCUCCUGUUGUUCCAGUCACUGACAAAUUAAGGCCUGUGGGUUUUCCAUUUCAUCCGUCUCCUUGGGUGACUGCUUCUAUCCUGAUCUGGUGAAACCUUCUCCUCAGUGAGGCCACGCUGACGACUGUUUGUUUAACCUUGACAUCUAUAAUUAAUGCCUGUGCAAAUUUGUCCUCAAAGGGCAAUCCUGAAAACAUAAUUGAAUUUUUAACUCAAAACAGUCUCACAAUUUAAAGAGGGAUCUUCAUAAAUAUGAUAUAGUCGCUGGAGGAGUGAGCAUCUUUUAGUCACCGUAUAACUGAGCUCAUUGUUACCCAUAGCUGAAUAAUAUUUAAUUACCUGUUGACUCUGUUUAUUGCUUAAGAGAGUUGAUGACAAAUUUAAUCAUAAGGCACAGACUCAUCAAAGCACUCUUUUCAUGUACUCCUAUCACGCCCCGGGGAAAUCACAAGCAUUUUGAGCAGUUAACAAGGCCAAUAAAUGAAACGACAUACGCAUCCACCUGACCGGCUGCCUCAACAAGUUGUGUGUCGACAUUACUUAGAUCCUCGGGGCAGUUAUGCAAAUGUAUCAGAGUGUGUGUGCCGUGAUAAUUACAGAACAAGGCUGCAACAUCCCAUAUGUCUCACAAAUCUGAGGAGUUAAAGCCCUGUACAAAUUCCCUUAAAGUGAUUUACAGGAAGACUUUGAAAAUGAAGUCGGGAAGUGUGUAUUGGUCCAUUUUUGUGUGCAGAAGCAGUGGCUCAUGUCUACCUUAGGUUGGUCUGAAAUAUGUACUUGUUGUACUGGAUGAAGUUCACUCCUGAGCCCUACUUGACAAACGUCUCAUGCUGUUAUAGCUGGUUUUAUUACAACAGAACAAGAAUACCAAGUGUAUAAUCACCCAAAUAAGAACAGUCAUGUUAUUCUACAAAAAAAAAAAAAAAAAAAAUGUACCAGGUUGUGCCACCACGUCUCUACAGAAGCCUCAACAACUCCAACCCUAUGUUUUUAGCAGCCAUUGUGGGUCCUCAGGCUCAGGUGGGCAAGGUUGAAGCAAAGGGUAUUCAGUUGCCACGUGUAACCUCACCACUAGGUGUCUCUACUCCUACACACAGGUCCUUUAAUAACUUUAUUUGUUGUUUCAAGCCACAGUGUUGUGGGGGCAUAUUUAAUCUUUACCAAGAUAAAUAAAUGGAAUUUCUAAAUACAGGCUGAGCCUGCCGUGCUUUAAUUAGAAAAAAAAAAUUAUAAUGACAGAGCUCUCUAAACAUCAAUGGGUGAAAAAAUGGAGCACCCUUCCAAAGUGAUAUAGUCCCUGUUCCUUACGUGAUUCCUUACUGAAUAAGCUCUCAGCUGGAAACACAGGUGGCCUCUACCGUAGACAUUUCUGUUGACAUAUAAAGUAAGAGACUUUUCUUGUAAUAUCUGGUAGCAGCCCAGCAGAUCAUUAGCUAAAUCCAUUAAGAAUCUUGACAUAAACUGAUCUCUCUGCCAUAAAGUUCUACAAAUCCCUCUUCAUUCGUGGCAUUGAAAUCACACCAGAGUACUUUGGAAGAGACUGUGUAGAGCCAUCUCUUCUCAGUCCCCCAUGUUUUUUCAGGCUGCUGGAUAUAUAAAACUAAACUUCGGUAUUAAAUGAUUUGUUUGUUUGAAUUAAAACUGACAGAAGAGUAACAAACCGCAAACCCCAAAACUAACAGUGAUAGCCGUGAUAGGGGAGUGAGUGUGUUCAUGUCAGCUCGUGUCUCAUUGUGUGUGUGCUUCACUAAUAUGUUUUGUUUCAGACAGUGAUGGAUAACUUUACCUGUGGGGGCGAUGUGGACCAAAGCAAUGAAAGACAAGACUUGAGGGAAACCUUUAGAGAAGAGCCUCCACAUUUGCAGUCAUUUAUUCUCUGCCUCAUCCAUCACGGAGAAAUGUACUUGGUCCUGGUUACAUUAUGAAAAAAGUCAUCUGGGGAGAUUAGUGUGCGGCCUAAAGCAGUCCAGUACCUGAGAGACGGCAGGGAUUAGAUUAGAUGUCCUGAUUGUGGAGAAACAGAGCACGGCUGCGUGUUAUCAUGACCAGACGCUGAGGUCUGAUUCAAUAACGCAUGGCCUUUAUCAGCGUCACUCCUGAGAAAUAUGUAUUUACAAGCUUUUUAUUUCAUCAGCACAAGUGAGUAAACUAAGUCAAGUGUGACAUGGCUCCCAGUGCUUGAAUGCAGUUCCAAUUACGAUGUUAGGAUCAUCAUUGCAAAGUUAUUUAAGGGCGCAAACCAUCCCCUGCCUGAAAGGAAAAGUAGUCCCACAGUGGACUCCCUUGUGCUGUGCUUGUGCCCUCUAGUGGUGGUACAGCAGCUCAUCUGCCAAAACUGGAACAACGUUCUUCUGGCUAACAAUAGUCCGACAAUAUUAUAAAGAGGCUGCUUACACCUUCCUGCUGUGUUGGAUCAGUGUGGCCAUUUCUCCUUCCAUCAAACACCGGCGGCAGGAAGUGGCUUCCAGACAAAAACAUGAGAGAGGUUGAAUAAAGGUUAAAGGCAGAAAUCAUGGAGGUAGAAAACAAGGACACAGCAUGGACAUUUUUAAACAGUAUGAGUGAAAAAUGCAAAACCGUCGUUAAAAGAUUAUGGAUCCUGGCUGAAACAUUUGUCAUUUUAAAUGGAGGAGUAAUGUAAUUGUUUGGGCCUGGUUGCUGGUGUAGUAAUUGCAGCUUCACCUAAGAACACUCUCAAAACUGUCAGUUGGAUGUGAGCCUGUGGACUGGACUACCUCCUCUCAGACGUAAGAGCUAUUUUACACAUGAAAAUGCCUCAUAAAUCACUCUGAAGGCAAAAGCAUAGGAGUUCUAGCUAAAGCGAACAUUCUCUGUAUCUUUAGGAGUUUCUCUAAACUCAGCCACUUAGGAGAGACUUGUGCAUUUUUACAUUUGCGCUUUGGGGGAACAAACCAGCAAGGAGACAACAGUUGCUAUGCACAUAUUUGAUAUCAUUAUCUGCUUCCUCAGAUGGCUGCUUUGGCUUUUUGAGUUUCAGGCGCCUUCUUAAGCUUCUCAGAGGGUUGUUUUGUUCCAUAAUGAAAAAGUCACGUGUUCAUGUAAAAACCUGCAAAUUUAUUGAAACCAAUGCAAAUGGUGGGUGACUCUCAAGCAGAAACACGGCAGUAGAAUAUUGAAAAAGCUAAAAAAAAAAAAAAAAAAAGAAAAGAAAAGCUAUCACAAAAAAACCUGUCCAGCUGAUUGCUUACCUUUUUUUUUGGAGUAACAGCUAGUGUUUGUUAAUUUUCACAAUUAACAAACAUGAAAAAUGUUCAAAGGUUCAAAAUUCAGGUUUUAUUUUGUCAUACACAAGUUUACAGGUGGGAUUUUGUUUUUAAUCAUUUUAAAAAUCAGGAAAAACAAUGCUUUUCCUACUUUCUUGGGCAGUAAAAUGUUCUAUAAAAUAAAGACAGAAAUAUAGUCAAUUAAAAUGAGACAGGAGAAUGUGGUCAUUGUAAGUGCUGCUGAAGUGGUGAUUUUAUUCUAAUGAAAUGAAAAUGCCAUAACCCCAUGAAACUCCGGUUAAUCACCCUGUAAAAUGUGGAUGUGCAGUUUUAGUUUCACACUGAGACCACAGUCAGUGUGUGAGCACACUAAUGCAGCUACUGUUGCCUGUGAAGUUGUUAUAAAAUAUUUUGUGAAAUGACUGUGACAAUGUGAUUUGCAUAAUUAGGAAUAAAAACAGGAACGUGUCUGAAAACAGCUUCAUGGGCAGCCGUGUAUAUUUAAACGUUGAUGAACCGUAUUGUCCUACAAAAAAAGGAGUCCUCGAACUCACCAUGCUGCAGCAGAGUAAUCAGUUCAGUGGGAACACCUGGGAUCAUCAUCUUCAGAAGAAGAGCAGAUUCAGAGACUCAGAGAAGACUAACAGGAGGAGCUUCUUGUUGGACGGCGUCUGUCCAGUCUGGACGUCUGUGCAGUGUCUCCAGCUACCAGAAAAGGCAGAGCACCUGGAAACACAGCUGACAAACCAGAGAUGUGGCAUGUGGAGAGCUCUUGGACACCAAAGCCAAGGACUCCUGGCCAGAUGCACUUAGAUAAACAGCU